AUGGGGAUGGAUUUUAAUUUAAUGAAUUAAUAGUAUAUUUCUGGGGGGCUAUGGAAGAUAUUCUUGUGAUAUGCUAGACCUCAAAUAUUUAGCUGGCCCGGUGUGUGGCCCAUAAAACCGAAAUGGGUAGUGAGUCUAGUCAUUCACUCUUUCGUGUACUUAGUCAAUAUUUCAAAAGAGCAUGUAGUUCUUUGUGGCAGGUACUGAGGUGUUAAUAGUCGGUACGCAUUAGGCGAUUCAGCAGCGGAGCAGCUGAAUGUCACUUCUUUGAUGCUUUGGUGACACACGAGAACCUUUUCUGGCUUGUUUACUAAACUAAAGGUGGGGAGUUCCUACAAUUCUACAGGGGGAGCAUGGCACCGUCCCCACACACUGCUCCCCCAUAAAGCUGCCCACUGUUCACUUUGGUGAUGGGUUAAAAGCAGAGGUCACAUUUGGUUGUGUGCUGAGUCACAAUAACCCGUAGUUCACUUUCCUUCCUCCUUUCCUUUAUUUUAGCAAGAAAGCCAAGCACUAAAUAUAAAUUUGAACCCUCACAGUAUGAUUUCUCUGUACUGUAUAUUAUUUAUUUGUAAAAAGGAUAUUGUUUUUGGCAGAAGACCAGAGACUAGGGAUUGAAAGGGAAAUGUUUACUGGCUGAAAACAUCAGGUCAUUGUCCUUGCCUCGUGAUAAAUGCCCAAUGAAAAGUGAUGCCUGCUGUGUCUUUUACCUGCUGGAACACUUGAAAAAGAAUUCAGAAGCGACUUCCUCCCCGGCAUCAAACAAUAAGAGGUCACUGGUUGUGACAUCUGCGUUGAUGGUCGAGACAGAUAGUGGAAAAAGUAAAAGGCUGAGCAAACCAUUACUAAUAUGUUUAUCUAGAACAGGGUGGAAGUCUGGUGGAGACAGGGCGAGUGCUGUGGUUGCUGGGAAAUGUGGGACAAUGAUAUGGUUUCAGAAGUACUCUGACUCAUUACUGGUUGUGAAUUUAGUCAGCCUCAUGAUAAACUAUUGACUGUUGGACUUAUGAGGUUGAUCAGGAAUUCCAACACCUUUUUUCCAAUCACCCUCCUGUGGUCUUUUUUGCUGUGUGAAGUAUUUUUUUUAUUAUAUCUAAAUGAUUCCUUUUAUAGUUCUGAUGUCAUUUUAAAUCCCUUAAAUUUUAGAUCCUAAAAUAUUUGCCUAAUUACCUUGCUAAUUUAACCAUAUAAUAAUAAUAAUCAAACCCUUCAAAGCCUAAAGGAAACAAAGCAUCAGCUAGCAGGAAGGAGCAAACUAAGCUCUGGGGAUUGGAUGCGGCCCGUUCAGCUUUUUAAUCCGGUCCGCCAAACCUUUCCAAAUUAUAUAAUGUAUUUAUAUUAUCAUUAUACUUCUGCCUUUUCCCUGCAAUACCCACGUUUCCACAAUAGAUGGCGUAGAAAAUGAUAAAAGCAUUUUAGCAUUUUUGUAUGACUUUUACGUGCAGAAAUACAAUUUUGUGUUCUCUGCAGCAUUUCAUUGUUUUUUUAUACAUAGCAUACAGUUACAAGGUUUUUGUGGCUCCGGGUGUUUUCUUUUCUGUGGGAGACGGUCCAAAUGUCUCUUGGAGUAUUAAAGGUUGCCAACGAUAUGAAUGAGGCUAGACAUCUAUGGAGGCCUGAGAUUGGCCUAGAAUUCGAUGAGAAGAAUUUCAGAACUGAAUAGGGAAGUUGAACAGGAGCCAGCGGAGCUGUUCCAGAACAUGUAGUGAAUGGAGGGUGUGGUUGUUACAAUGCGUGCGUCCCGGACCACUUGAAGUGUGCAGGCGUGAAGAGAUUUUGUUUGGCUGAUUGAAUAGAAGAGACAUUCUGUUGAACAACUGUGGAGUGAGGGAGGAAGGGACUGGAUUCAUGUUACGUAGGAGUUAGCUGUUAGGGGUGUGAGAAUGGAAAGAUGGAGUGCUGUCGAGUCACGUGUAAGACCGCAAUUAUUAGAAACCAGUACAAGACAGAACCACCCACCGUCAGUCAUUGGCUUGGAAUUAUAAGAGAGGUUUGAAUCAUGGGAAGACUGACCUAGAGAACGAUUUAACCUUUGCAACUUGGAGUACCUGCUGAGACUGAUAUCAGUCAGAUACCUUUGUAUCUGUAUUUUUUUGUCCUCCAACAUAUCGUGAUAGUGUCCCUAUUUACGGCAUGUCGCGCAAAGUUAAGUCGCACAUUUGGGCUCCAAUGGUAUCCAAUCGGAUGUGCUAACGAUUGACUGACCCAACGUUAGAUACUGGUUGUUCUAUGUUGGCAUGGAAUAUAUUUUUCAGUAUGUACAAUGUUUGGAAAAAAACAAAACAUCCUCAGGUUAAAAUUAAGUUAGUUUUCUGUCUUUUAGCUAUUAUUUAGUUGUUUCUGGCUCUGAUGUGCAACGUGACUUUUCAAAUUGAUUAUAUCUGUUGUUGUUCUCGAUUGAAAGCGUUUCCUGGUGCACUUUGUUUUUUCUCUACAUUGAUAGUUAGUAAGAUAUCUUUACAAAGUAACAUUUUGGCUUUUGUUGCUCUUUUGGUCUUUUGUAUUCUUAAAUAUUUACACACAUGCUGGGAAACAACCAUCUUCUAUCUUAACAGACGCGCUUUGUUAAUUUACUGUACGCGGCGGUAAAGUGACAGGAACGCGUGUCCACUGACGUCUGUUUGUGUUCAGUUAGGGGGGUUAGUCGGCCGUAAUGUGCAAACUUUGUCCAUCUGUUUGUGGUCUUCCAGCAGUGUGACACAGUGUGUCCAAGGUUAUGACAACAGAAAGCUCUUUAGAACAAGCAAACAACACAAAGGUCGUGUUAUGUAAUCAGUGAUUUGUUUUCCAGGAUAUAUUUGUUUCAUUCAUUAUUACGUGUAAAUACUGCAUUAUGUGACAUCAUCACCAAGUCUUUCAAAUGGGCCAGACCAACAUCUGCUUAAGUUUUCUCAUUUUUAUCAGUAAGGCUCUGUUUUUAUAUAAACACUCAAUAUCAUGCCUUUCCUUUCUCCUCCUACGGCUAAGGAAGGCAGCGUGAUAUACUGUAGAUGGCACAGCUCUCACAGCUGGGAACUUGGGUGACACGUUCAUGAGUUCAACCCAAACCACAGCGAGGACAUCAAGCGGGAACUGUUACAGCCACAUUUAACAAAUAAGUGUUCAAACUAACAUUGUUGUCAUGUUAGACAACGCAGUCGUCCCUCACUGUAUCGCAAGAUUGGCUGUCGCGGCCUCAGUGCACCGCGGGUAUUUAAUUUUUAAAUGUAUUCGGUUCACUGUAUCGCUGAUUUUUGCAGUAUAUAAAAAUGUUUUAAUUUCCAACAUUUUCUAUUAUUGUUGUGAUAAAAUAAGCAUUUUCUAGUCUAGGAAAAAACCCCAGUAAAAAAUAAUAUUUGUAACAUGCAGGUUACAGAAUAGUCAGAGUCAGAAACAGUGAGACAGAAUUGUGGAAGAGCUAAAGGUCUGCACAAAAUGAUCUUUAUUUGUUUGACUUAUUUUUCCUGCACGAGUCAUAAAAGAGUGUGACCGCAUUUUAGUGCUGAAUAAAAACAAAACAAAACACACGCAUAAGUCUAUGAGGAAGUGCAUCAGUGUCUUGGUCUUAUGUUCCGUCAAGUAGUGCUGAGCACAAAUAAAAGAAUUAAAGAGGAAACGGCUGAAGCUUCAUAUAAUGAUGCAGAAAUUAAGACGCGUGUCCCGAUCCUGCAUGGAAUCUUUUCAGUCAUUUGAAGCCAUUUUAUAUUUGAACUCAUUGCAUUUGAUAGUUCGACUCGGGUUAACACAUCUCCUACACCAAACCACAUGCAGAAAAUGACCAUUUUAAUCCCACCAAGACACCGACUGCUAACUGUGUGCCUGCAUUGUAAAAACCACAGCAGUUUCCUGUAAAUUAAACUGAGUUGUUUUAGAUUUAGUGAGAGCUAAUCAUAUGGUCCCUUCUUCUUGGAUGGUCAUCAGCAUCGGAACUGUGUUAUUUUUAGCAGUCCUUGGGAACAGUCCAUGGAAAUAAAGAGAGGAGAGAGAGUAGAAAUCCAUCUUGAUCUACUGGACCUUAAGCGUGGGAAUAUCCGCAAAUAUGACAGAAAACGACCCUUAAGAUGAAAAGUGAGUGUUUAAUAAUCUAUAAUUUUAGUAGCAGUUUGUUUUGGGCUAUCUGUUUUUUAGGUUUAAAACUUUUUUAUUUUUUUAUUUUUUAGAGACACCAAUUUUACAGAUACUCAUGGACUUUUUCUGAUUUUUCUUUAAAAUCUUAUUUUUUUUCGGCCUACUUUUGAAUCUACAUUCAGACCCUUUUUGUAUGAAAUGCUUUUGUUUUCUGCUGCAACAAUUGAAGGAUAUUACAUCAGUAGUUCAGUAGUUUAUGCUUCAUACCGAGGUAAAAGCUCUGUGUUAUUGGAAUUGGUUCAAUGUUUAUACCGACAGAGGUUGUCUUACUGACCCACCGUUUGCUUCGCAAUAAAAAUAUUCGACACAUACUCAGGUAAUCAGUAAAAAUGUUGUCACAAUAGAGAGAAAAGGUUUCACUCACUUCGGAGAAAACCAGAGACAACAACUGCAGAGGCAAAGGAAGAAGGAAAAUGUGACUUCUUUCCACUGCAGAAGCAGGAGAACAAAUCCCAAUUUAGCAUGUCAGCAGUUGAAAAAUAUAUGACUGAAAUGUUAUGGCAAAGUUUUUUUCUUCUCUGCAUGGCUCUAAUUAAAAUAAAACUUUAUUUCAUUUUGACAA